CACGUAGGGCGCAAGCGUUGUCCGGAAUUAUUGGGCGUAAAGAGCUCGUAGGCGGUCUGUUGCGUCCGCCGUGAAAACCCGGGGCUUAACCCCUGGCUUGCAGUGGAUACGGACAGACUAGAGGUAGGUAGGGGAGAAUGGAAUUCCCGGUGUAGCGGUGAAAUGCGCAGAUAUCGGGAGGAACACCGGUGGCGAAGGCGGUUCUCUGGGCCUUACCUGACGCUGAGGAGCGAAAGCGUGGGGAGCGAACAGG
rnacentral:rRNA from 1 species